rnacentral:misc_RNA from 1 species
UCAAACUUGGUCAUUUAGAGGAAGUAAAAGUCGUAACAAGGUUUCCGUAGGUGAACCUGCGGAAGGAUCAUUAAAAAAUCUUUUGAGCCGCAAGGCUCUGUUAUUUUGUGCACGGUGCAGCUGCUAUGGAUUUAUUUUGCCGUACUCACAUGUGUGCUGUAUGCGUAUGUGUGUUGUUAUAUGGCUUAAUGAAGAAAUAGUAUCUCACACCAUAAACUAAUGUUAUAUAAUUGCGCGGAAUGAAUAGCAAACAAAAUGUAAUAGUUUUGUGCGCUUUUAAUACAAAAACAACUUUCAACAGUGGAUCUCUCGGCUCUUGCAUCGAUGAAGAACGCAGC